AUACGAUUGUUGACAGGGAAGAGUAUAAAACAAAUGACCAUUACAGAAAGAAUCUUCAUCGGCUGAGAGAGAUUCAUGUGUCUUGUUUUAGAAGUGCGCCCUUAAGACCUUUAAAGAACAUUUCUGCGGAAAUCAGUAUUUAAAGGCGGCCGCCGCCGUUAUCGGCUGAGUUGGGAAAACAGCCAUUUGUUUUUCAAACAGAGUGGAACCGCGCGGUGAAAGCGUCUCUGUC
rnacentral:ncRNA from 1 species